rnacentral:lncRNA from 1 species
UGACCUGGGAGGAGGGGCCGACAGGGGGACAAAGGCCGCGAUGGCAAGGGCAGGUCUGAGGAUGGGCACAUCAGGGACAACUGACCAGCAGAGAGAGGACAGUGCCUGCAGGUGACAGCAGGGGAUGCCGGCGGAGGUGGCGAGGCCCAGGCUUCUGAGUGGCCAGCUGGGCCUGAAGGUGCCUCAGGGACUGGGGGGCCGGCUGUCUCCCGGGGCUGCCGCUCCAGCCAGGACCCCUCCCUCCGCAUCCUGGACUGAGGGCUGGAGAGUGACAGGCUGUGGACUGAGGGCUGGAGAGGUGAGGCCCCGGGGGAGACAGCGUGACCCAGGCAGCGGGAAGGAAGGACAGGCCCAUUUCAGUGGCCCAAGGGGACUUGGGGCGGCUGCCUACGUGGGUGCCCCCCCUCCCCCGCUGCUUGGCCCCGGGCGGGUGUGCGGCCAGUUCAGACAAGGGAUUCUGCAGGCCGGUGUGCCAGGGCUCCCACCGGCCGGCCGGCCCCUGCGGGCCUCAAAAGGGACCCUCAGGAACCAGGGCUGCCCUCUGGCCUGUGCAGGGGCGAGGGGGUGUUGCCAGGCCCUGGAAGGUGCAGGCAGCAGAGUCGGAGAAGCUCAGCGCCUACCUGAGGCCCAGGCCCCGGGGCAGCGGUAGUGGGCGAGGCUGGGGCUCCUGCAGCUCCGGCUUCUGGAGGGUGAAGCUGAGGGGUCUCAGGUCAGAGAGCCAGCCUGGCCCCUCCUGCCGGCCCCCUCGCGGGCCAGGCAAAAACCCUACCAGCUUCCUGCUCCAAACCUGGCAAGCGGAGACACAGACCCUCUGCUGGGGACUAGUGUCCCUCACUGUGCCGCGCGAGCUGAUGACCCUGUGACCCCUGGUGGCAGCCUGGCCCUCUGGUUGGUCAAAGGGUCCCAGUAAGACUCAAAGGCUGAUAAAUAACUCCAGGUGCCUGGCCCCCGGGGGUAGGGGUAGAGGAGAGAGGGGGCUCCCCCUGCCCGUGCCCAGCAGCCCUGCCCCCAAAGACCUCUACCUGUCAUUGCCAGGGAGGUCAAAUAACCAUCCACUGACCCCUGACCCAGCCUCUCUGCCCUCAAAUGGAGGAGGGGACCAGAGAAGAAGGGUCAGGGUGGGGGCAAAAAAGGAGGAGGGGAAGAAGGAGAAAAGGACAGAGAGGAAAAGAAGUCAAGUGGGAGGAGGUGCAUAAGGGAAAGGGGAGGGGAGGAGGGGUGAGGGAGGAGGGAGGGGAGGAGAGCGGGAGAAGGGGAGGAGGGAAAGGAGAGGAGCACGGAGAGGGAGGAGGGGGAGGAGAGGGAGGAGGGGUGAGGGAGGAGGGAGGGGAGGAG